ACUCCGGUUGAUCCUGCCGGACCCGACUGCUAUCGGGAUGAUACUCAGCCAUGGGAGUCGCACGCUCUCGGCCACGUGAGGGCGUGGCGUACGGCUCAGUAGCACAUGGUCAAUCUACCCUCGAGAAAGCGAUAACCCCGGGAAACUGGGGAUAAUAGCUUAUAGACGACCAACUCUGGAACGGGUGGUCAUCGAAAUGGUACGCAGGCAUGCCUGU
rnacentral:rRNA from 1 species